rnacentral:rRNA from 1 species
CUCGUAGGCGGUUUGUCGCGUCUGCUGUGAAAUCCGGAGGCUCAACCUCCGGCCUGCAGUGGGUACGGGCAGACUAGAGUGCGGUAGGGGAGAUUGGAAUUCCUGGUGUAGCGGUGGAAUGCGCAGAUAUCAGGAGGAACACCAAUGGCGAAGGCAGAUCUCUGGGCCGUAACUGACGCUGAGGAGCGAAAGCAUGGGGAGCGAACA